GGCGGGAAGGGGCAGGGGCCGGCAGCCCCCCAGCGGAGCAGGUGGAGCGGGGCGGCUGGCGGCGAGCAACACGUUCAGCUCCGAACUUUGCGGCUCCAGUCACAAACAAACAAAUACGGCCAAGGAAAGACCUCUCCCAUCCGAUCCCAGCCUGCUCGGCAGCCGCUGCCUCUCUUAUUGAUUCCUACCUUAAAACUUUGGCAAGACAUUAUUGAUCAAUGUGUCAGUGAAACUGCCAUGAUUCAGGACUUUUUUCUUCAAUUCUUAAUGGAUAAAGUGGCUGUGCUGAAUUAUUAUCAGUAAGUGAAGAUGAAGAUAUCCACACGAUGGUGACCAGGAGGAAAAUGAGGUAGCAUUGGUUGCUGCAAAUUCCAGAGCCUCCUAGAAUUCAACUUCAUCUGAACUCAGUGACAUAAAAGAUGAGAGAUGCAUAAGAAAGGACCAUUAUACACGUUCUUUGUUAGCAGUCUUCCAGUGUCAUGUGUUUUUCAGUCCGUUCAGUAAAGGAGGUCUUCCGUGGAAUUUUUCAGAAAUGCAAAGAAGGUGUCCAGCAUUUCAGAAAGGAAUUGUGCUGAGGGGUUAGAAUAGCACUCUUAUAG
ensembl:lncRNA